GAUGAACGCUGACAGAAUGCUUAACACAUGCAAGUCUACUUGAAUUUGGGUUUUUUAACUUCGAUUUGGGUGGCGGACGGGUGAGUAACGCGUAAAGAACUUGCCUCACAGCUAGGGACAACAUUUGGAAACGAAUGCUAAUACCUGAUAUUAUGAUUAUAGGGCAUCCUAGAAUUAUGAAAGCUAUAUGCGCUGUGAGAGAGCUUUGCGUCCCAUUAGCUAGUUGGAGAGGUAACGGCUCACCAAGGCGAUGAUGGGUAGCCGGCCUGAGAGGGUGAACGGCCACAAGGGGACUGAGACACGGCCCUUACUCCUACGGGAGGCAGCAGUGGGGAAUAUUGGACAAUGGACCGAGAGUCUGAUCCAGCAAUUCUGUGUGCACGAUGACGUUUUUCGGAAUGUAAAGUGCUUUCAGUUGGGAAGAAAAAAAUGACGGUACCAACAGAAGAAGUGACGGCUAAAUACGUGCCAGCAGCCGCGGUAAUACGUAUGUCACGAGCGUUAUCCGGAUUUAUUGGGCGUAAAGCGCGUCUAGGUGGUUAUGUAAGUCUGAUGUGAAAAUGCAGGGCUCAACUCUGUAUUGCGUUGGAAACUGUGUAACUAGAGUACUGGAGAGGUAAGCGGAACUACAAGUGUAGAGGUGAAAUUCGUAGAUAUUUGUAGGAAUGCCGAUGGGGAAGCCAGCUUACUGGACAGAUACUGACGCUGAAGCGCGAAAGCGUGGUAGCAAACAGG
rnacentral:rRNA from 1 species